rnacentral:sRNA from 1 species
CUGAAGCCUGACGAGGAUGAGAACCUCCGGGGGCAAGAGGUUCGACCCGAGCGCAGCGAGAGAACGUUGCUUCAGCAACGGCCCGCAGGGCGAGCCACGCAGUGGCGAGUCAUCCUCUAUCACCGACCA